GACGAACGCUGGCGGCGUGCCUAAUACAUGCCAGUUGAGCGCUGAAGGUUGGUCCUUGUACCAACUGGAUGAGCAGCGAACGGGUGAGUAACGCGUGGGGAAUCUGCCUUUGAGCGGGGGACAACAUUUGGAAACGAAUGCUAAUACCGCAUAAAAACUUUAAACACAAGUUUUAAGUUUGAAAGAUGCAAUUGCAUCACUCAAAGAUGAUCCCGCGUUGUAUUAGCUAGUUGGUGAGGUAAAGGCUCACCAAGGCGAUGAUACAUAGCCGACCUGAGAGGGUGAUCGGCCACAUUGGGACUGAGACACGGCCCAAACUCCUACGGGAGGCAGCAGUAGGGAAUCUUCGGCAAUGGACGAAAGUCUGACCGAGCAACGCCGCGUGAGUGAAGAAGGUUUUCGGAUCGUAAAACUCUGUUGGUAGAGAAGAACGUUGGUGAGAGUGGAAAGCUCAUCAAGUGACGGUAACUACCCAGAAAGGGACGGCUAACUACGUG
rnacentral:rRNA from 1 species